rnacentral:rRNA from 1 species
AACGAACGCUGGCGGCGUGCCUAACACAUGCAAGUCGUGCGAGAAAGUUCCUUCGGGAGCGAGUAAAGCGGCGCACGGGUGAGUAACACGUAGGUAACCUGCCCCUAAGUCUGGAACAACUAGAGGAAACUCUAGCUAAUGCCGGAUAAGACCACGGUCCCCUCGGGGACUGCGGCCAAAGAUGGCCUCUGCUUGCAAGCUAUCGCUGAGGGAUGGGCCUGCGGGCCAUUAGCUUGUUGGUGAGGUAACGGCUCACCAAGGCAAUGAUGGCUAGCUGGUCUGAGAGGAUGACCAGCCACACUGGGACUGAGACACGGCCCAGACUCCUACGGGAGACAGCAGUGGGGAAUAUUGCGCAAUGGGCGAAAGCCUGACGCAGCGACGCCGCGUGGGUGAUGAAGGCCUUCGGUCGUAA